rnacentral:rRNA from 1 species
CAAUAGCGUAUAUUAAAGUUGUUGCAGUUAAAAAGCUCGUAGUUGGAUUUCUGGUUGAAGCGACCGGUCGGGCGUUGAUUCGUCUGCACUGGAGUCGGUUUUGGCCCUCCUCUAGGAAAGUGCGUCUGGUAUUAAGUUAUCGGGCGUAUGAUCCUGGUCUUUUACUGUGAAAAAAUUAGAGUGUUUAAAGCAGGCCUUCGCCUUGAAUACAUUAGCAUGGAAUAAUAAGAUAGGACUUUGGUCUAUUUUGUUGGUUUGCAGACCGAAGUAAUGAUUAAUAGGGAUAGUUGGGGGUAUUUAUAUUCCGAUGUCAGAGGUGAAAUUCUUAGAUUUUCGGAAGAUAAACUUAUGCGAAAGCAUUUACCAAGGAUGUUUUCAUUA